rnacentral:rRNA from 1 species
CCUACGGGAGGCAGCAGUGGGGGAUAUUGGACAAUGGGGGGAACCCUGAUCCAGCGACGCCGCGUGAGUGAAGAAGUAUUUCGGUAUGUAACGCUUUGUUAGCCGGGAAGAAAUAAAUGACGGUACCUGACUAAGAAGCCCCGGCUAACUACGUGCCAACAGCUCCGGUCAUACGAAGGUGGCAAGCGUUAUCCGGACUUCAUGGGUGGAAAGGGAGCGUAGACGGUUAAGUAAGUCUGGAGUGAAAGGCCGGGGGCCAACCCCGGUACUGAGCUGGAAACUUUUGAACUUGAGUGCAGGAGAGGUAAGCGGAAGUCCUGGUGUAGCGGUGAAAUGCGUAGAUAUUAGGAGGAACACCAGUGGCGAAGGCAGCUUACUGGAGUGUAACUGACGUUGAGGCUCGAAAGCGUGGGGAGCGAACAGGAUUAGAUACCCUUGUAGUC